rnacentral:rRNA from 1 species
UACGAGGGGAGCAAGCGUUGUUCGGAUUUACUGGGCGUAAAGGGCGCGUAGGCGGCCACCGCAAGUCGACUGUGAAAUCUCCGGGCUUAACUCGGAAAGGUCAGCCGAUACUGCGGGGCUAGAGUGCAGAAGGGGCAACUGGAAUUCUCGGUGUAGCGGUGAAAUGCGUAGAUAUCGAGAGGAACACCUGCGGCGAAGGCGGGUUGCUGGGCUGACACUGACGCUGAUGCGCGAAAGCUAGGGGAGCGAACGGG